UUCAAAGUAUUGAGGAAGCUGCUAAUAU
rnacentral:sRNA from 1 species